CUCUGAUGGAAAUCAAAUAGGGAGAGAAAGCCACAAGCCACUAUGAAAUACCACAGUAAAUCAGCUUUAGAAAAACAACAAAAACUAUUUUAGAAGUUUCUUCUUUUUAUGUACACAUUUAUAUAUUUAUACACUGUACAGAUUAAAAAAUAAAAUAAAAAUGGUUGAAAUAUAAGAUUGUGCACCCCACAGAUGUGUGACUAAAGAGAGAACAGAAGAGAGCAAGAAAUGGGACAAAGGGAUGUCAAGGACAUACAGAUAUCAACAUCCCCAAUUAACACUGAUGAGUUUUUACAUACACAAUUUUCAUUUAUCCUUUAUACAAUUUCACAAAAUCCUGGCCUAUUUUGGCCAAUCCUCCUCGUAUCUCCACCAAUAUCUGUGUAGAGAGCCCUAAUCAGACAUUUAGGGUGAUUUCAAUCUGAGUGACCACUGAUCAGUUUUCAGAUUUAUUUAGAUCUGUGUUUUGAAUUGUUACUGGGCUUUUCUAGAGCCAAGGAAGGACUCUACUAAGAAUCCCAGCUCAAUGCCUCAGAGGCAAAUGGACCAUACCGGGCUUCCUAUUUUAUUUUCAGACAAAUAAUUCAUUUUCACCUGAAUCGUGCCAUUUUAUCUGUUUCCUAUUCUGGCUGAUCUUUUCAAUUUAAUGCUGCAUCAGAUGCAUAAUGAUGUAUCGUUUGCGUGUGUGCUCAGUAUGAGGCAGGGAGGUGACUGUUCCCAGUUAUUUUAGAAACAGGUAGGUGCUCUGCUAUGUUCUGCUCUGCCUGGAGAGAUGGCAGUGAUGCAAAUGAGGUGAUGAUCAUUGUCUGUCUCACCUUUUCUCUGUGACACUUGGGGAGUGAGAGCAUAUGGAGGAGAGAGGGGAGGGGUGUUGUUUAAGAGCACCUUGUGCCAAAAAGCAUGUGUGUCACAGUGGGGUUUUGAAGUACGUCAGCACUGACGUAUGGAGACCUCGCCUGUCUUAGUCUCUGUGUGUUGGGCCAGACCUAGAGGGGAGGGACGUGUUGAGCCAGACCUGGAGCGGAGGGACGUGUUGGGCCAGACCUAGAGCGGAGGGACAGUGUGUUGGGCCAGACGUAGAGGGGAGGGACAGUGUGUUGGGCCAGACGUAGAGUGGAGGGACAGUGUGUUGGGCCAGACGUAGAGCGGAGGGACAGUGUGUUGGGCCAGACCUAGAGCGGAGGGAGAGUGUGUUGGGCCAGACCUAGAGCGGAGGGACAUGUUGGGCCAGACCUAGAGCGGAGGGACAGUGUGUUGGGCCAGACCUAGAGCGGAGGGACAGCGUGUUGGGCCAGACCUAGAGCGGAGGGACAGCGUGUUGGGCCAGACCUAGAGUGGAGGGACAGUGUGUUGGGCCAGACCUAGG
ensembl:lncRNA